AUUGAACGCUGGCGGCAGGCUUAACACAUGCAAGUCGAGCGGGGUGAUGGUGCUUGCACUAUCACUUAGCGGCGGACGGGUGAGUAAUGCUUAGGAAUCUGCCUAUUAGUGGGGGACAACAUCUCGAAAGGGAUGCUAAUACCGCAUACGUCCUACGGGAGAAAGCAGGGGAUCACUUGCGACCUUGCGCUAAUAGAUGAGCCUAAGUCGGAUUAGCUAGUUGGUGGGGUAAAGGCCUACCAAGGCGACGAUCUGUAGCGGGUCUGAGAGGAUGAUCCGACACACUGGGACUGAGACACGGCCCAGGCUCCUACGGGAGGCAGCAGUGGGGAAUAUUGGACAAUGGGGGGAACCCUGAUCCAGCCAUGCCGCGUGUGUGAAGAGGGCCUUAUGGUUGUAAAGCACUUUAAGCGAGGAGGAGGCUCUUUUGGUUAAUACCCAAGAUGAGUGGACGUUACUCGCAGAAUAAGCACCGGCUAACUCUGUGCCAGCCGCCGCCGUAA
rnacentral:rRNA from 1 species